rnacentral:misc_RNA from 1 species
UUGGCUGGUACGGUUCCGUUCUGUUCCGCCUUGGCGCCCUUGGCCGCGGGGGCAAUGUUUUUGUUUUCGUUCUACGUUCAGGUGUUGAGUGGCGACGUAUUAACCGUCGAUAACCAGCUGAAGCAGCUCAAGUUCUCUAGUGGAACGAGGUUGACCGUGCGCAGUGGCAGCCGUUGACAACAAAAACAAUGUAUGCACUCAGCUUCGCCGGAUGAGUGCCGGCGUCGAUCGCGAACCGCCAGAGCCGCCAAAUACCUCUCGUACAUCUCCAAGAACACCAAGAACAGGAGGUAUUCAUAAAGGUCUGAACCACGCGAGGAUCGUCUCGAAGCAUGGUAGCCUCAACAGACGCUUGCCGCCACACGCGAGGAGAAAGCAGGAGGCCCGAAGUUUGAAUGUGAAGAGGAGGUGCGAAGAGCUGGCCCUCACUUUUUCAAGGCAGCCGCAGAACACUACGAGCCCCGAAUCACUGCCACGGCUGACUCACGCGGAUGCUGUGCUGCACCCUGCACUGCACAUGGUUCGAAGCACACUUCAGGGGACCAGUGCAUGCCCCUGAUGCAUCGUCGCGAAGCACUGUAUGGCUCUCUGCACGCUAGAAUGGGGGCUGUCGUUGAUGCUCGCAGAGGCGUCGCCCACAACUAAGCAGACGAUCAAAGUCCUGAGCAGGUGACUAAUCGUUUCAUUGUUCUUUGGUAGGGAAAGGUAGAUAAUGUGCUUCUACUCCCAGCUUUGUUUUUUUUUUUUUUGUUUUUAUCACCAUUUAGUAUGUUACCAUCAAAACAGCAUCCUGGUGUUCACAUAAAUAUGUGUUAACAAUACCUAUCGUCAAAUAUGUGACUCAAAGAGCCAACUGCGGCCGAGGAUAUCUUUUAAGUGUUCUUUUUCUCACAAAGAUCCCUGGCAUUGACUUUUUAGCCACGUACCUUGAGUCCAGAAAAACAAUGUGCUUCAGCUAAAUGGUAUUCACACAAAAUACAUCCUGACAAGCUGCUUUCACUCUCGAGCCUCGAAGAAAUUUUGCAGUUUGAUUUGAACUAUGUUGCAGGUUAAGGAGGUAGGGUCAGGGAAAAGAAGGUGGGAGAGCAGGAAGCGGGCACAAUGCUGGUCAAACCCUCUCCCUUCGCCGGCGUUGCAUCCAUCUCGUCCUCUCCCACCUUCCUUUUUUUUCCCCUACCUUCUUGAGUUGUCACCGACCAUAUAAAAGGCAUGCAUUGAUAUCACUUGUUCGUUUUGUGGCCAUGGCGCCAGCAAGGUUUGAGAAACGUAUCCUGCUUCACAGGAAUUCAGCACUCAACAUGGAGAAACUAUUGGCAGUGCUGCUGUAAUGUCUUUGUCCUCGUCUUUUGCAGCCAUCUAAAAAAGAGAAAUAUAAUACUAGGAACACAGAGCAACGUCACGCGCCAGUACAUAGUGUACUACGAAGGGCAGGUAAAUUGACUGCGGAACACGAUUUUCUCAAUGUCCUCACGGUUCUUUCGGCCAAGUACAUACAGAUAAGACGAUUAUUAUUAGAAAUGUUGAACGCCAAUCCGAAAUGUUUUUUGGCGGUGUGCCGAGCAAAAGGACAUUGCUGCAACAGAAAACAUGUGCCAUCCUCCGCCUUUGGUGCUUCUGUGUCUGCGCCGAGCUUCCGCAGCCACCAACAGUCAACGCUGCAUGGACUGCCCGCCAUGCUUUCAUGCGUUCCAUGUAUGAUUGGCACGGCAUGUGGAUGUAUCAUGCAAGUGACAUCAGCGCUGUUGGCAGUGCCAUGCUGGUGGUGGUUGAGCUUUGCUAGACUCUGACCAUUGACAAGCUGUUUUAUGCAAUAAUCGCUCUUGGAAGUCCCCAAACUGUUUUUAGCAAUUCAAGUGUCAGAUUUUUUUUUAGCUAUGGUUAUACAGGUUUUCUUUUUUAACAUUUACAGAUUUCAAAGAAAAAGUGAAAGUUAUGACAGUUAUAAGUUAUACGGCCAGGCGGACAUUAGAUUCAUGGAAGAAUGCAGCUAAAAGUCCGUGUAGAUCAUGUGUAUCAUGCUUCUCUACAGCGCAGCUACAUACUUGCGUAGGACAACCCCCAUGAAGUGGGGUGGGGGGGCUGCAUGCGUGUGUUGGGUAGCCCCUCUUGGUUUUACAACUCUACCCUGUUGUAAAAUUUUAGAUUUUAAUGCGAACAAGUUGAUAACAAAAAAGAACUUGGUCAACAUUGAUCUUACAACUAGAGAUGUAAAAGGAACAAAAAUAGAGAACAGCAAAAUGUGGAAGAAGACAUCUCGCUUCUUUCAUUUUCAUUUGACUAAGUGACAUUGGUCGGCGACUGUAAGACUUUUAAUCACAAUAGUUAUACACCACAGGUCCCGGGGAUCAUGGCAUCGAUGAGCUCGCUUUCGCCUUGUCCAAGGUAGCAGCGGAACACUACGGGCAGGCCCGGAGUCACCGCACCGGCUGGCUCACGGGCGUCGUCCUGUACUCUGCACGGCACUGCGUGUGGCUUAACCGGCCAAGCAGAGGGUCACUGCAUGACCUUUAUGAGGCGUCGCUAGCCAUUGUAAGUAUAUUUUGGACGCUCGUGUCAGGGGAUGUACUUUUGUGUUCUACAACAGAACAUGUUUGGUGGCGGUUCAGUCUUGCCAAUUCAGCCAUUUCGAAACAUAAUUUUGUGGCGACUCGGCUUAGGUUUUCUGGCUCGGCCGUCUUUUGCACCAGUGUCUAGGCUCGGCGUAAGCCUCUUUGUUCUUUAUUGUCAAGGCUAGUGUAAUUUCUGCUACGCCGUCGAAGCAACUUCUGCAUGCGAACAAGAUGCAAGACGAAGCUACAUGCUCGUGCACAGUGCAUGACCACAUGUGAAAACUAAUAGCGAGUUUGUUUCGCUGCACUCGUGCGUAUGCGCACCCACUCGCAACAUGAAGUGAGUUUGUUUCGCCGCCGGCACUCCACACGUGCAUGCGCUCGCUGCACCCUGAGAAUUAAGUGUGUACCUGAAUGCACUCCCGUCAUGCAUCACUUAGGCAGGGAACAAGAGCAGAUGACUGGUUUGUCCACCAUGCGGGACAGUAGAACUGCAGAAAAAGUGAACUUUCUGCUAAAAAAAUGACGUCCCACGAGCAACAAAAUCGGACACGAGCUUGAAUUGUGUGUCUGCUAUUCUAUAAAGCAAGCAAUCCACAACCUGUGCUUAAUUUGCAAGUUUUCAGUCAUUUUGUUGCCGUACAGACGUCCAAAUACACCGGUGGAUAAAGAAAGGUUCAGAACGAACAUCAGCCACUGCGAGAUAUCUCUCACCAUCCGUGCGGGGCUAAAGAGUUGGGACGUUAGUUGACAAAGCUUGCCCCGCAGAAACCUGCGACGCGUCCAAUCGAGAGCCGAGAAAGCUAAACUGCUUUUACCCGAGGCUUGGAUAAAAUCACAGUGUUUAAAAAGGAGCCAUGGAAUUUAUUUUGGGUGGGAUAAAUUAAUUUAGAUUCGUAUUUUGCUAAUACAGUUGAACCUUUCAAGAACGAAAUUCUCGCGGCAACGAAGAAAUCUGGCGGCCCCAGCGAACGUCCAUAGGGUUCAAUGCAUUUGCACCCUCUCAGCAGCAAAGAGUUUUUAAAAAGCAGUCCCGCAUUAACGAAAGUUUGAGGUAGUGAUCUGCCAUAGAGUUAUUCAAUGUGUCUACCAAGUUGGCAUUUUCAAAUUCCCUGAGUUUUUCAGGUUUCCUCUGAGUACUUUUGUGAAAUUCCCUGAGUGACACAGAACUUUGUUUUAGGUCAAGAUGGGCGGACACCAUGUCGCCAGAUGCUGUCACUCUCUAAAAAGCAUGUCAUAAAAUAAAAUAACAACACAAUACAGUUUUGAUGAUAGCGAGUAACUUUUAUUAGAUUUAAAAAGAAAACAGAGCGAAGUGGUUAGUAAAAUUGAUAGUGAAUAAAGUAUAAAAAAAGGUAAACUGAGGUUUACGUGACCCCCCCAGGUCUGGUCAUGU